GCUGACGAGUGGCGGACGGGUGAGUAAUGUCUGGGAAACUGCCUGAUGGAGGGGGAUAACUACUGGAAACGGUGGCUAAUACCGCAUAACGUCGCAAGACCAAAGAGGGGGACCUUCGGGCCUCUUGCCAUCAGAUGUGCCCAGAUGGGAUUAGCUUGUUGGUGAGGUAACGGCUCACCAAGGCGACGAUCCCUAGCUGGUCUGAGAGGAUGACCAGCCACACUGGAACUGAGACACGGUCCAGACUCCUACGGGAGGCAGCAGUGGGGAAUAUUGCACAAUGGGCGCAAGCCUGAUGCAGCCAUGCCGCGUGUAUGAAGAAGGCCUUCGGGUUGUAAAGUACUUUCAGCGGGGAGGAAGGUGUUGUGGUUAAUAACCACAGCAAUUGACGUUACCCGCAGAAGAAGCACCGGCUAACUCCGUGCCAGCAGCCGCGGUAAUACGGAGGGUGCAAGCGUUAAUCGGAAUUACUGGGCGUAAAGCGCACGCAGGCGGUCUGUCAAGUCGGAUGUGAAAUCCCCGGGCUCAACCUGGGAACUGCAUUCGAAACUGGCAGGCUUGAGUCUUGUAGAGGGGGGUAGAAUUCCAGGUGUAGCGGUGAAAUGCGUAGAGA
rnacentral:rRNA from 1 species